rnacentral:snRNA from 1 species
AUCGCUUCUUGGCCUUUUGGCUAAGAUCAAGUGUAGUAACUGUUCUUAUCAGUUUAAUUUAAAAUUCGUCUUUGGUCAAAAUCAGCCAUCCAGUGGGGCGCCUCGGUGGCUCAGUCAGUUGAGCGUCUGACUUCAGCUCAGGUCAUGAUCUCAC